rnacentral:hammerhead_ribozyme from 1 species
GUACGGCUGAGGAGUCCCACAAUAGGACGAGACGGCCGUCCAGUGC